rnacentral:rRNA from 1 species
CCUACGGGAUGCAGCAGUGAGGACUAUUGGUCAAUGGGCGCGAGCCUGAACCAGCCAAGUCGCGUGAGGGAAGACGGUCCUAUGGAUUGUAAACCUCUUUUGUCGGGGAGCAAAAGACGCCACGCGUGGCGUUCCGAGAGUACCCGAAUAAAAAGCAUCUGCUAACUCCGUGCCAGCAGCCGCGGUACUACGGAGGAUGCGCGCGUUAUCCGGCUUUAUUGGGUUUAACGGGUGCGCAGGCGGAAGUUAAAGUCAGCGGUAAAAUUGAGAGGGUCAACCUCUUCGAGCCGUUGAAACUGGUUGUCUGGAGUGAGCGAGAAGUAUGCGGAAUGCGUGGUGUAGCGGUGAAAUGCAUAGAUAUCACGAAGAACUCCGAUUGCGAAGGCAGCAUACCGGCGCUCAACUGACGCUCAUGCACGAAAGUGUGGGUAUCGAACAGGAUUAGAUACCCGAGUAGUC